GAAUUUUUCUCAAUGGGGGAAACCCUGAAGGAGCGACGCCGCGUGGAGGAAGAAGGUCUUCGGAUUGUAAACUCCUGUCAUUAGGGAACAAUGUGCAGAUGUUAACUGCGCCUGCAUUGAUAGUACCUGAAGGGGAAGAGACGGCUAACUCUGUGCCAGCCGCCGCGGUAAUACAGAGGUCUCAAGCGUUGUUCGGAUUCAUUGGGCGUAAAGGGUGCGUAGGCGGCGGGGUAAGUCAGGUGUGAAAUCUCGGGGCUCAACCCCGAAACUGCACUUGAUACUACCUUGCUAGAGUACUGGAGAGGAGAUUGGAAUUUACGGUGUAGCAGUGAAAUGCGUAGAUAUCGUAAGGAAGACCAGUGGCGAAGGCGAAUCUCUGGACAGUUACUGACGCUGAGGCACGAAGGCCAGGGGAGCAAACGGG
rnacentral:rRNA from 1 species